CUCUUGUCUUGCAGCUGUACCCUUAUCAUCUGCUAAUGACAUCCAACUAUCGGCUGCCCGUUGAUGUGGACCGAUGUCACCUGGAGCGUCAUCUGUCCAACGAGGAAUUCCAGGCCCUCUUCCACAUGAGCCGGCUGGAGUUUUACCGCCUACCCGAGUGGAAACGCAAUGACCUCAAGCGACGGGCUAAGCUCUUUUAAGAAUGCCUUUGAUAGAUGCUAAGUGCAGCACUAAUAUGCAACAAGCUAUACAUUCUUCCUGCACCCACUUUUCACUGCCCUCCUCGUGAAUUAUUUCUCUUGCUUUGGAUCUAGUCGCUUGCUUUUCAUGCCAUCCUGAUCUCUGGCCCAGUAUUGUCAU